UACGAAGGGGGCUAGCGUUGUUCGGAAUCACUGGGCGUAAAGGGCGCGUAGGCGGCUUUAUAAGUCGGGGGUGAAAGCCUGUGGCUCAACCACAGAAUUGCCUUCGAUACUGUAUGGCUUGAGACCGGAAGAGGUAAGUGGAACUGCGAGUCUAGAGGUGAAAUUCGUAGAUAUUCGCAAGAACACCAGUGGCGAAGGCGGCUUACUGGUCCGGUUCUGACGCUGAGGCGCGAAAGCGUGGGGAGCAAACAGG
rnacentral:rRNA from 1 species